GAAACUGGGUCUAAUACCGGAUAGGAGCGCCGACCGCAUGGUGGGUGUUGGAAAGAUUUAUCGGUUUUGGAUGGACUCGCGGCCUAUCAGCUUGUUGGUGAGGUAAUGGCUCACCAAGGCGACGACGGGUAGCCGGCCUGAGAGGGUGACCGGCCACACUGGGACUGAGACACGGCCCAGACUCCUACGGGAGGCAGCAGUGGGGAAUAUUGCACAAUGGGCGCAAGCCUGAUGCAGCGACGCCGCGUGAGGGAUGACGGCCUUCGGGUUGUAAACCUCUUUCAGUAGGGAAGAAGCGAAAGUGACGGUACCUGCAGAAGAAGCACCGGCUAACUACGUGCCAGCAGCCGCGGUAAUACGUAGGGUGCGAGCGUUAUCCGGAAUUAUUGGGCGUAAAGAGCUCGUAGGCGGUUUGUCGCGUCUGUCGUGAAAGUCCGGGGCUUAACCCCGGAUCUGCGGUGGGUACGGGCAGACUAGAGUGCAGUAGGGGAGACUGGAAUUCCUGGUGUAGCGGUGGAAUGCGCAGAUAUCAGGAGGAACACCGAUGGCGAAGGCAGGUCUCUGGGCUGUAACUGACGCUGAGGAGCGAAAGCAUGGGGAGCGAACAGGAUUAGAUACCCUGGUAGUCCAUGCCGUAAA
rnacentral:rRNA from 1 species